UCUGAAACAUCCAAUGUUAAAAAAAAUAAAUAAUAAUAAUUACAAGUAAGUCAUUUACAAAUAUUAUAAUUUUUCUAUCGUAUCUGAUACAUCAGGCCUUUAUGGCAAUUUAUUGAUCACAAAAACAAAUAUUGUUCAUUGCAUUUGUAACUAUCAUCAGUAAUUUGAAAAUCAUCAGUGCAUGAGAAGGAAACACCAGAGCUCUUUUUUCUACUUUACUUGGUCUACUCAAACCACCUGAUAUCCAUCUGAAUCUCUCUGAUGAACACCUUUUGGCCUUCCUAAAUGUUUUCAACUCUAAGAUUGAGACAAUUCAUGAACAUGAGCAAAAUGAACCAUGCUCCCUGAAUGCUCUGGCCCCACCACUAACUAAUGCAUUUUGUGAAUUCAGUCUCCCAGCAGAAAGUCACAUCUUGGAUCUUAUUGCUAAGUGCAAUUCCUCCACCUGUCAGCUGGAUCCUUAAUUAAAAAAAAUCAAGCUUAAUUAAGGCAUGCCAGCACUCUAUUGUCCCUCUGAUCACCUCAAUAAUUAAAUCCCCUUUUUGCGAGAAUUGGUAUUAUCUGCUUCUGAGCUCCCCCUAAAGUUGCGGAGUGUAGUUCACUUUUACACCACUGUCAUGAAAACAAAUGGCGCUUUGAGACCCCUAAUGGACAGUGGUACGCGUGUAUUUGUUGACAAGAUGAAGGAUAUGGACUGGCAAACGCCAGAAGCCUAAGAAGCAUGUCAGCUGACAAGUCAUCAUCAGCAGGUCUACUGGGACUACCAGUCAUUAAUCUCACCACAAUGGGUGCAUUGCCUUCUGCUAUGCUGCACCCAAACUCUGGAACUCACAUCUGCCUCACAUCCGCGCACUGGACUCCAUUACCCAAUUCAAAAGUGUUCUUACAACUCAUCUUUUUAGCAUACUCUCACUAACAUCAGGUACAUUUUCUUUUAUUGUGUUGUACAUCUUACUAUGUUUUUAUUGAUGACUGUUUCAUGUUUUUAUUGAUCGUAUGUGAUGUAAGGUGACCUUAAGUGUCAUUAAAUAAAAUCUAUUAUUAUUAUUAUUAUUAUUACUAUUAUUACUAUUAUUAUUUUGGAAUAUUUCAUGGGUUGGUUCUUUUUUUUCAAACAAAAAUUUUCAAAAAUGUAUUUGCUUAUUACAGUCCCCCUGUUAGGUGAAAUUCACCCUAGUUACCUCAGGACUCCGGAGCUGCAUAUAAGUAUAUUUAUUAGACAAACAACAACAAUUGCAAUCGGGCUCACUCCCAGCACAAGGCUGAAAGUGAAGCAAUGAUAAACACCGCACAACGUUUAUAUAGACAGAAGUUUAGCGUUCAGCAGGGAUAACCACGUGGUGGAUCUCUGACGUCCGAGGCUCCCUGUCUUGCGAGGAUGGCAGUUUUGCACAAGGUCGGAAGAAGCUUAUCACCUCUGGUCUAAACAUGCUCUUGUACAUAUGCAGACUAAGUGGCAACCUAAUAAUCUAAGGGACAAGGGAUCCUAAGUCCAUAUACUGAGAUUCGUUUCAUCAAAGAGUUGCUGAAAUAUGGUCUUUCUGUGAGCAUCAUGAAUUGUAAUACAAAGACAAUGGAGGGAUUUACAGAUAAAUUACAUACUUGAUAUAUCUACCGUAAAUACCUUCUGAAUCAUACAUUGA
ensembl:lncRNA